CCUACGGGUGGCAGCAGUGGGGGAUAUUGGACAAUGGGGGAAACCCUGAUCCAGCGACGCCGCGUGAGUGAAGAAGUAUUUCGGUAUGUAAAGCUCUAUCAGCAGGGAAGAAAGAAAUGACGGUACCUGAGUAAGAAGCCCCGGCUAACUACGUGCCAGCAGCCGCGGUAAUACGUAGGGGGCAAGCGUUAUCCGGAAUUACUGGGUGUAAAGGGAGCGUAGACGGUAAUGCAAGUCUGGAGUGAAAGGCGGGGGCUCAACCCCCGGACUGCUCUGGAAACUGUGUAACUGGAGUGCAGGAGAGGCAGGCGGAAUUCCUAGUGUAGCGGUGAAAUGCGUAGAUAUUAGGAGGAACACCAGUGGCGAAGGCGACCUGCUGGACUGUAACUGACGUUGAGGCGCGAAAGCGUGGGGAGCAAACAGGAUUAGAUACCCGAGUAGUC
rnacentral:rRNA from 1 species